GGCUGCUGGAAUUUUUCUUGUCUUGCCGGGGAAAACCCUUCUGCCACGCUGGAGGACCUGGAGAAGCCGGGGGUGGACGAGGAGCCGCAGCAUGUCCUCCUGCGGUACGAGGACGCCUACCAGUACCAGAACAUAUUCGGGCCCCUGGUCAAGCUGGAGGCCGACUACNNNNNNNNNNCUGUGGGAGCUGAUGUGGGCUGCAGCCGCGACACCUGAGAGUUGGAGCUUGCGGAUCCAGGCCUGGCAGCCCGGUGGUCUGGGCCCCCGCCCUCAGAUCUGACAUCAGCCUCAGUGUUUUCUGUUUAAAUCCAACACAUCUUUCCCAGUGGGGUCCACAGCU
rnacentral:lncRNA from 1 species